UACGAAGGGGGCAAGCGUUGUUCGGAUUUACUGGGCGUAAAGGGCGCGUAGGCGGAUAUGCAAGUCAGAGGUGAAAGCCCUGGGCUCAACCCGGGAAUGGCCUUUGAGACUGCAAGUCUUGAGUGCGAGAGAGGGUGGCGGAAUACCCAGUGUAGAGGUGAAAUUCGUAGAUAUUGGGUAGAAUACCGGUGGCGAAGGCGGCCACCUGGCUCGCAACUGACGCUGAGGCGCGAAAGCUUGGGGAGCAGACAGG
rnacentral:rRNA from 1 species